rnacentral:misc_RNA from 1 species
AGUUUUGCCUUCUAAACGCAUCCAAUCUACAGACAGAAAAAUGGCAGAUGUGAAGUCUCUGGAACAUCCAACCUUAAAAGUGCCAUAUGAAAUUCUAAACAAAAAAUUUCGGUCCGGCCAGAAAACAUUGACAGAGAGGUGUCCCGUGUCCAGCAAGCUAGCAGUGAGGUAGAAGAAUGUUUGCAGGACCAGAAAUCUCCCUCUGUCCAGCAAGUUUCACUAGCUCUGGACAAUAUGGUGGAAAAGCUCUGCUUUCUUAAGCGGAAGGCAGAAGAAAGCAUAAAUGAAGAACUUGAGGCGGCUAAAGUAUUAAAACGGCGUGUGGAACAUCUAAAAGAGGCAGAGUGUUUGCAGCCCCAUACUAGACCCCUGUGGCAGAAAAAAAGGCUAGACAGAAUGCUUGUGGACUAUUUCCUACGGUCAGGGUACUACGAUACUGCCCUCAAGUUAGCUCAGCACUCUGAUAUUCAGGAUUUGACAAACAUUGACCUGUUUUUGACUUCGCGAGAAGUAGAGGAGUCCCUUUUGAGGCGUGAGACUGCUCCAUGCUUAGCCUGGUGCUACGACAACAAGUCCAAACUACGUAAAAACAAGAGUUCCUUGGAGUUCAAGCUUCGCCAGCAAGAGUUUAUUGAACUGGUACGACAAGACAAGCGUCUCGAGGCAGUCAGGCAUGCCAGGCGAUAUUUCGUUAAUUUAGUGGAUGAUCAGUUAUAUGAAGUUCAAAGAGUUAUGGGACUUUUGGCGUACUCUGCUAAUACCACACUUCCUCCUUACAAAGAGCUAUACAAUGACAGCCGCUGGCAUGAACUGGUGGAACAAUUCCGCCAGGAGAACUUCAAGCUUCACCAACUAAACCAUUCUUCUGUGUUCACAAUCACCCUGCAGGCAGGCCUAUCAGCCCUGAAGACUCCACACUGCUACAGAGAGGAAGGAAACAAAAAUGCCGACUGCCCAGUGUGUACCUCCAAUUUAAACAAACUCGGACAACGCCUGCCAUAUGCACACUGCGCCAAUUCCAAACUGAUAUGCUCAAUAUCAGGCCUGCCUCUCAAUGAGAAUAACCCCCCUAUGGCACUGCCAAAUGGACAAGUUUAUGGAUAUAAUUCUCUCUCAGACAUAGCUCGAUUAAAUGAUGGAAGAGUUGUCUGCCCACGAACUAAAGAGAUAUUUCAUCUAGACGAUGCAGAAAAAGUUUUCGUGAUGUGAUAUAACAGACUACAUCUUUUUGAAAAACCCCAAUUUGUUCAAGUCAAAAGUUGUACUCAUUAGAAUUUGAUUCUAACCCAAGAUGUAUAAAAUAUGGAAUAUCACAAGAGAAAAUAGCAAUAUAAGUACAUCAUGUGUAGAUAAUUUGUUCUUUCAAUCCUUGAUCUGAAACAUUUGUACGAGAUAAAGAGAAAUGGUUGGCUAUGAUGAUUAAGUAUUAUUAAAACUUGGACUUCAGCAUUAUUUGAGUAUAACUCAACAUGGAAACUUUAAAAUAAGGACUUUUCCAUUUUUUUCCUCCUUUUAUUACAUGUAUAUAUCUAUUAAGACUUCCCAUUUCCAUUACCAACAUUUUGAACAAUAUUGCUGUUAGUUUAAUAUUGUAUGCUGUAAGUCGAGCCUUUCUUACAACAAGUCAAAAUCUACAUGAAGAUUGAAACCUCAUUAAAAGUAAUUUAAAAGCC